rnacentral:tRNA from 1 species
GGUGAGGUAGCUCAGUUGGUUAGAGCGCCUGCCUGAUAAGCAGGAGGUCGCAGGUUCAAGUCCUGCUCUCGCCACCA